GACGAACGCUGGCGGCGUGCUUAACACAUGCAAGUCAUGGGGGGCCCGCAAGGGCAACCGGCGAACGGGUGAGUAACACGUGGGCAACCUGCCCCUAGCUCUGGGAUAACUCCGGGAAACCGGUGCUAAUACCGGAUACGACCUCAAUGGGCAUCUUCUGAGGUGGAAAGAUUUAUUGGCUAGGGAUGGGCCCGCGGCCUAUCAGCUUGUUGGUGGGGUAACGGCCUACCAAGGCGACGACGGGUAGCCGGCCUGAGAGGGCGACCGGCCACACUGGGACUGAGACACGGCCCAGACUCCUACGGGAGGCAGCAGUGGGGAAUAUUGCGCAAUGGGCGAAAGCCUGACGCAGCGACGCCGCGUGA
rnacentral:rRNA from 1 species